CCAGCCCAUUCUGAGCGCGCUCCCGCCAGUCCCCCCAGCCUCCCAGGUGCCUUUAAAUCUAAGUCCUCGAGGAACUUGACCCCCCCACCCGCCCCAGCUGUCCCAGCUGUUCCCAAGAAUCCUGGCUGCCUGUGUGGCUUAUUUACUGCUCAGGACAACUGAUAGCUUUACAACCCAGGUUUCGUUUUCACCUUCCUCUUCCUCACAGAUGGAUCACAGAUGAACAUGGACGUUCCAUAAAGUUCUCCUGACCUCAUAUACAUGGUACAGAGAGGAGCCCUCAUCUGGCCAGUAGCGGUCACACUGCUUGAUGCCAUCCUCCACCAGUGGGGUCAGCAUAACAAUGACGGUGCAGCCAUUCUCCCACACCAUCUAGGGACAGAGACCCAGGAUACUGAUGCUCUGCACUUCCCGGCCCCUGUGCACACUUGGGGGAAAGACCUCCCCGGGCCCAAGGCCAAAACCACAGGCCCACCAAGGACAGCUUGAUUCUCCACUUGAAGAAAAGUUCUGUCAGCUCCACACCCGAGUCUACUCCCACCUGUGCUGUGCCUUAUGGAUCAGCUGUCAGCAGACUUUAACUGAAUGCAUGCGUGGCUUUUGGGACAAGUUAACCAAUGCAUGCAUACUCAGAAAAAAACUAUGUUUAUCCCAGAGCAGCCCCUACAGACAGGGCAGUGGAUAGUGAAGAA